rnacentral:rRNA from 1 species
GCAUGAUAUUUUUAUUAAAGAAUUUCGGUUAUCGAUGGGGAUGCGUUCCAUUAGUUUGUUGGCGGGGUAACGGCCCACCAAGACUACGAUGGAUAGGGGUUCUGAGAGGAAGGUCCCCCACAUUGGAACUGAGACACGGUCCAAACUCCUACGGGAGGCAGCAGUGAGGAAUAUUGGUCAAUGGGCGAGAGCCUGAACCAGCCAAGUAGCGUGAAGGAUGAAGGCUCUAUGGGUCGUAAACUUCUUUUAUAUGGGAAUAAAGUUUUCCACGUGUGGAAUUUUGUAUGUACCAUAUGAAUAAGGAUCGGCUAACUCCGUGCCAGCAGCCGCGGUAAUACGGAGGAUCCGAGCGUUAUCCGGAUUUAUUGGGUUUAAAGGGAGCGUAGGUGGAUUGUUAAGUCAGUUGUGAAAGUUUGCGGCUCAACCGUAAAAUUGCAGUUGAAACUGGCAGUCUUGAGUACAGUAGAGGUGGGCGGAAUUCGUGGUGUAGCGGUGAAAUGCUUAGAUAUCACGAAGAACUCCGAUUGCGAAGGCAGCUCACUAGACUGUUACUGACACUGAUGCUCGAAAGUGUGGGUAUCAAACAGGAUUAGAUACCCUGGUAGUCCACACAGUAAACGAUGAAUACUCGCUGUUUGCGAUAUACAGUAAGCGGCC